CCUACGGGUGGCAGCAGUAGGGAAUCUUGCACAAUGGGGGCAACCCUGAUGCAGCGACGCCGCGUGAGUGAAGAAGUAUUUCGUUAUGUAAAGCUCUAUUAGUAGGGAAGAAAAUGACGGUGCCUGAGUAUGAAGCCCUGGAGAACUUCGUGCCAGCAGCCGCGGUAAUACGUAGGGGGCACGGGUUAUGCGGAUUUACUGGGUGGAAAGGGAGCGUAGUCGGCAGUGCAAGUCUGGAGUGAAAGGCGGGGGCUCAACCGCCGGAGCGCUUUGGAAACUGUACAGCUUGAGUGCAGGAGAGGUAAGUGGAAUUCCUAGUGUAGCGGUGAAAUGCGUAGAUAUUAGGAGGAACACCAGUGGCGAAGGCGACUUACUGGACUGUAACUGACGUUGAGGCUCGAAAGCGUGGGGAGCAAACAGGAUUAGAUACCCGGGUAGUC
rnacentral:rRNA from 1 species